rnacentral:rRNA from 1 species
GUAGGGAAUCUUCCACAAUGGACGAAAGUCUGAUGGAGCAACGCCGCGUGAGUGAAGAAGGUUCUCGGAUCGUAAAACUCUGUUGUGAGGGAAGAACAAGUACCGGAGUAACUGCCGGUACCUUGACGGUACCUCAUUAGAAAGCCACGGCUAACUACGUGCCAGCAGCCGCGGUAAUACGUAGGUGGCAAGCGUUGUCCGGAAUCAUUGGGCGUAAAGCGCGCGCAGGCGGUCCCUUAAGUCUGAUGUGAAAGCCCACGGCUCAACCGUGGAGGGUCAUUGGAAACUGGGGGACUUGAGUGCAGAAGAGGAAAGCGGAAUUCCAAGUGUAGCGGUGAAAUGCGUAGAGAUUUGGAGGAACACCAGUGGCGAAGGCGGCUUUCUGGUCUGUAACUGACGCUGAGGCGCGAAAGCGUGGGGAGCAAACAGGAUUAGAAACCCUAGUAGUCC